CCAAACCUUGUUGAGCAAGCAAAUCCAGAACUUCGCACUGCCACAUACCGAAGUUGUUUCUACCAUUAAAUUUCUCGAUGUCAAACUUCAAAGAUGACACUCUUCCAUUCUUACUCGAAGAUGGGUCUGACAUUACUAAUCACUUUCACACACUAAACAAUCACCAACCGAAGGUAAACAAAUCUGAAAUUCACACGGGAAUUUCAACAAAACACCUUCU
rnacentral:lncRNA from 1 species